rnacentral:ncRNA from 1 species
UAGCUUUUGAUUUUAGUGUAUAUUUAUUAUUAUAUGUAAAUUUUUGUAUGAUUUUAUUAUAGACUUAUUUAAAUAAUAAGUUUAUUUAUUUUUUAUUUAAUUAAUUUGCAAUAAUGAGAUUUUGUACUAUAAAGGUUAUUUUGAUGAAAGUAUAUAUAAGAGUAUUGGUUAAAUUUGUGCCAGCAUCCGCGGUUAAACAGAUGAUGCAUUUAAAUUUUUUCAAUUUUACAAUAAGUAUGUUUAAUAUUUUUUAAAAUUUAAUUUAAUAGGUGAAAUUAUAUAUUAAAAUAAAAUUAAAUUAAUUAUAUUGUAUUUUGUGAGAUUUUAUUAUUAAACUAGGAUUAGAUACCCUAUUAUAAAAAAUGUAAAUUUAAAGUGUUAGAUUAGUAUUAGUUAUGUUCUUUAAAUUCAAGAGAUUUGGCGGUAUCUUAGUCUAUUCAGAGGAACCUGUUUUAUAAUUGAUAUUCCACGAUUAAUUGUACUUAAUUUAUUAGUUUGUAUAUCGUCGUCAUAGAAUUUCUUUAAAAAGUUACAAUAUUUUUAAUUUAAUAUUAUUAAAGUAAAUCAGAUCAAGAUACAGUUUAUAAUUAAGAAAUAAUGGGUUACAAUAAAUUUAUUUAGAUGGUUAUAAUAUUUAAAAUUAUUAUAUAAAUUGGAUUUGAGGGUAAUAUAUUUAAGUUAGAAUAUAUGAUUUUAGCUCUAGGAUAUGUACAUAUCGCCCGUCGCUUCCAUUGAUGAUAAAUUUGGAAUAAGUCGUAACAUAGUUGGUGUAUCGGAAGAUGUACCUGGGGUGAC